UGACUCAUUUCUGAUAAGUUUUUUCUCUUUUCAAUUUCGACUCCCGUUGAGAAUAGAUACGCGAUAUAAUUUUCAUCGCUUGCUUUUAUUACAAUUUUGUUAUCGUUAGUCCUGAAGAUGCCAAUAAAUUUUGGCGAAACGUCGACAAUUUAAACAAACGUGUUUUUUACUUGUGACCAGAAAAUUGAAUAACAUCCCUGAACAUCGGGUUAUCACGAUGAAACAUCAAUCUGCGAACAUAUCAUCUAUCAAAAUUUGUGUAACUCUCUGAUCAUGCUAGCAGCCGACAAGUUCUCAUUUCUUAUGCAGAGGCCGGAUAUAUAAGUGUCGUGCUUCGAUCCAUUUGUUAUUUCGUUUUUAAGUUAUCUUUUCUAGGGUGUAAUCGAGCUCAGGUUACUUAGGAAGGCUAUUUAUGGCUAGGUAAAUAAAAUAUUUUCAUCAAUUAAAA